rfam:Triticum aestivum genome assembly, contig: Triticum_aestivum_CS42_TGACv1_scaffold_592321_7BS
CAAAUACUCCCUCCGUCCGGAAAUACUUGUCAUCAAAAUGGAUAAAAAGAAAUGUAUCUAGACAUAUUUUAGUUUUAGAUACAUCUCUUUUUAUCCAUUUUGAUGACAAGUAUUUUCGGACGGAGGGAGUAGAAA